GGUAUAAUUGCUUUAAGCAACUAAACUUUAACGAAGUGUGUCUCUUUGAAUUUAACUGCCAGCAAAAGAUUAUUACUGUCAUAAAAAAACUGACACUGUCAAACGAAAUCCUGAAACUAUGCUUACCAGAAUAUUUAGUUUAUAUUAGUAUUUAAUUCUCAAUACUGUAAAAGUCUUUAUCAAUAUGCAGUAUUGAGGAGAAACUGGAAAUGAAACCCGAAGCGACAAAUACAUGGAGUUUUUUUCAAGCCAUCUGCUUUUUUAUAUUAUUUUAUGCCGCGGUGCUCUCGAUUCGGCGGCUGGCUGUCAUCUCCUUCCAGUCUGACGAUAGCUGCUGACUCUCUGCCUUAGAAGGAUUUCUCUUUAGCAUGGGAGAGACGAAAGAGGCGAUUAUACUCGGCUUCGUGAUUUAUUUCGUUCUAAUAACGCUUUUACUUAUAAUCAACGAAGCGUUCUGCAAAGCGGUCUGCAUGAAGUAUGCCCGCCAAGUCGCUAACGGAAACCUGCAAGACAUAGAAACCAACGAGAGAAGACCCUCAAAAGUCAUCACAAGGUCCCCUUCGCGAUACGACCGAGGCGACGUACCUAAACAUUACUACCCGAAUAACAACUGUAUGUAUGUCGUUUAAGUAGUGUGAACAAUUUCCAAUAGAUGGCGUUAAAACUAUUAGUUCUGCUACUCACCGACAGGUAGCGUGGUUUUCAAAACCAAACAAAAUGUUAGUUCGUAAAAAAGUUUAAUUUAUUAUCAAUCUUACAUUACCAAUGAAAUAAAUAUAGAAAAUCAGACGUUUCUUAAUGCUAAACCCA